rnacentral:rRNA from 1 species
UGGGGAAUAUUGGACAAUGGGCGAAAGCCUGAUCCAGCCAUGCCGCGUGUGUGAAGAAGGUCUUCGGAUUGUAAAGCACUUUAAGUUGGGAGGAAGGGCAUUAACCUAAUACGUUAGUGUUUUGACGUUACCGACAGAAUAAGCACCGGCUAACUCUGUGCCAGCAGCCGCGGUAAUACAGAGGGUGCAAGCGUUAAUCGGAAUUACUGGGCGUAAAGCGCGCGUAGGUGGUUUGUUAAGUUGGAUGUGAAAUCCCCGGGCUCAACCUGGGAACUGCAUUCAAAACUGACUGACUAGAGUAUGGUAGAGGGUGGUGGAAUUUCCUGUGUAGCGGUGAAAUGCGUAGAUAUAGGAAGGAACACCAGUGGCUAAGGCGACCACCUGGACUAAUACUGACACUGAGGUGCGAAAGCGUGGGGAGCAAACA